UGGGGAAUAUUGGACAAUGGGCGAAAGCCUGAUCCAGCCAUGCCGCGUGUGUGAAGAAGGUCUUCGGAUUGUAAAGCACUUUAAGUUGGGAGGAAGGGCAUUAACCUAAUACGUUAGUGUUUUGACGUUACCGACAGAAUAAGCACCGGCUAACUCUGUGCCAGCAGCCGCGGUAAUACAGAGGGUGCAAGCGUUAAUCGGAAUUACUGGGCGUAAAGCGCGCGUAGGUGGUUUGUUAAGUUGGAUGUGAAAUCCCCGGGCUCAACCUGGGAACUGCAUUCAAAACUGACUGACUAGAGUAUGGUAGAGGGUGGUGGAAUUUCCUGUGUAGCGGCGAAAUGCGUAGAUAUAGGAAGGAACACCAGUGGCGAAGGCGACCACCUGGACUAAUACUGACACUGAGGUGCGAAAGCGUGGGGAGCAAACA
rnacentral:rRNA from 1 species